GAUGAACGCUGGCGGCGUGCCUAAUACAUGCAAGUCGAGCGAACAGACGAGGAGCUUGCUCCUCUGACGUUAGCGGCGGACGGGUGAGUAACACGUGGAUAACCUACCUAUAAGACUGGGAUAACUUCGGGAAACCGGAGCUAAUACCGGAUAAUAUAUUGAACCGCAUGGUUCAAUAGUGAAAGACGGUUUUGCUGUCACUUAUAGAUGGAUCCGCGCCGCAUUAGCUAGUUGGUAAGGUAACGGCUUACCAAGGCAACGAUGCGUAGCCGACCUGAGAGGGUGAUCGGCCACACUGGAGCUGAGACGCGGUCCAGACUCCGACGGGAGGCAGCAGUAGGGAAUCUUCCGCAAUGGGCGAAAGCCUGACGGAGCAACGCCGCGUGAGUGAUGAAGGGCUUCGGAUCGUAAAACUCUGUUAUUAGGGAAGAACAAAUGUGUAAGUAACUAUGCACGUCUUGACGGUACCUAAUCAGAAAGCCACGGCUAACUACGU
rnacentral:rRNA from 1 species